rnacentral:rRNA from 2 species
AGACCCGAAACCCGGUGAUCUAGCCAUGGGCAGGUUGAAGGUUGGGUAACACUAACUGGAGGACCGAACCGACUAAUGUUGAAAAAUUAGCGGAUGACCUGUGGCUGGGGGUGAAAGGCCAAUCAAACCGGGAGAUAGCUGGUUCUCCCCGAAAGCUAUUUAGGUAGCGCCUCGUGAAUUCAUCUCCGGGGGUAGAGCACUGUUUCGGCUAGGGGGCCAUCCCGGCUUACCAACCCGAUGCAAACUGCGAAUACCGGAGAAUGUUAUCACGGGAGACACACGGCGGGUGCUAACGUCCGUCGUGAAGAGGGAAACAACCCAGACCGCCAGCUAAGGUCCCAAAGUCAUGGUUAAGUGGGAAACGAUGUGGGAAGGCCCAGACAGCCAGGAUGUUGGCUUAGAAGCAGCCAUCAUUUAAAGAAAGCGUAAUAGCUCACUGGUCGAGUCGGCCUGCGCGGAAGAUGUAACGGGGCUAAACCAUGCACCGAAGCUGCGGCAGCGAACGUAUCACCCAAGACAACUUUGCGGAGUUGACGAUUGACGGAGCGAAGCGACGUCAAAGCGUUCAUUAAAGUCGAGUUGGCUUAGGGAUACGUUCGUUGGGUAGGGGAGCGUUCUGUAAGCCUGUGAAGGUAUGCUGUGAGGCAUGCUGGAGGUAUCAGAAGUGCGAAUGCUGACAUAAGUAACGAUAAAGCGGGUGAAAAGCCCGCUCGCCGGAAGACCAAGGGUUCCUGUCCAACGUUAAUCGGGGCAGGGUGAGUCGACCCCUAAGGCGAGGCCGAAAGGCGUAGUCGAUGGGAAACGGGUUAAUAUUCCCGUACUUGGUGUUACUGCGAAGGGGGGACGGAGAAGGCUAUGUUGGCCGGGCGACGGUU